rnacentral:lncRNA from 10 species
UCGGUUACGCUUACACCACCUACGUCUCCUGAGGAAGUCCAAACAGGUAUAGCAGUAAUUUGUCUCAUCAGCUCUGGUAAUUUGUUAUUUUGUGUACAGUAAGUACUUAAGAAAUAAUUUAUUUUGAAAUAGUUUCAAACUUCUUGAGAAUUUACAAGUGUAGUACAAGUAAUUUCCUUAGCCAUAUUUCCAAACUGUUAUUAUUUACUCCAUCACCCUGUCUGUAUGAUGUACAUUCAUUAUCAUUGGUCUUUUUCUGAACCAUUUGAGAACAACCUACAGACAUGAUGUCCCAUCACUCCUGUGUACUCAGUGUGUUUCCCAGAAUUAAGGACACUCUCCUAUACAACUAUUACUCGAUCCUCUUAGUCAGAAAAUCAGCAUUGAUACACUGCCAUCCAGUUUGCAUUCCCUGUUUUAGAUAUUUUGCUUUCUGUAUUUAAAAGUAGCGUGCUUUUAUUUUUAAAGGUUUAUGUGUUUAUCUAUAAUUAAAAUUACUCCAACAGAGCAGCCCAUUGCUGUGUUCUAAUUCUUAGCCCUUAAGUCCUACAAAAAUAAACCCAAGCUUUUACAGUAACUGUCAAUACAGAACUAAAGCGUUUUAGCUAUUAAAAGGGGUUUAGUUACCAAGGUGCUUAUUUUCAGCAAAACGCCCUGUUACUCAGAAGAACAUACGCAUAUACUAAAGUUCUGACCCAUCGAUUCAUGCAACAGUUUAUAUCUCUGCCCUCCCUCCAUCUACCUUUAAAACAAAAACACAGAAGAACUUUUUACAAUGGAGGAGAAACGUAUAAAAACACAGAAGAGCUUUUUACAAUGGAGGGGAAAUAUGCUCAUGCUCAGCUGACCUUACAAAAAAGACUGUCUAAUUUCCAACUAAAUGAGAACACUAAAGUGUUUGGCUAAAAUCCAGCAAUGAUUGACUGACCCAGGUCAGAGGCUGGCAGGGACAGAAGGGCCAGAGUGCUGCCGCUGCAGGGGCUCAUCCUGGCCUCCAAACCCCACCUUGAUGUGGAAGCCAGGCUCUGUGCAGCAGCUCCAUGGCUGGUGUCCAGGGCCCCUUCGCACUACUCCGAAGUCCUUCCAGUCUCCCCACCUCUGGCCAGCCUCUGACCUUGAUGAUGUCACUCUGGGCAUCAGGAUAGUCUGGUUUGCUUAUACAGCAUGAUCCAUGGGACACCUCCUUCCUUGCCCUCAGCCCACCUCCCCCGACACGCCACCGUGUGCUGGCCCUGCCUGGCUCCUGAGAACCCCACUCUUGGUACUGAGAGUGGUAGGUUACAGAGAUGUACUUGAUUGCCACAUUUGCCUAAUGAGAUCUGGUUCCAAAAAGUAGCAUGCUUUUUAUCUCAAAAUAUAAAUAAUUUUACCAGAUAGCUGGAGCAGCUUGUAUCACAAAUUAAUAAAAAACCCAAAUAAUGUUACUUUAAACCUACCUUUAUUCUCCUACAGCCUGUUUUUUUGUUUUGUUUUCAGUUGAUCCUCAGUCUGUCCAGAAGUGGGUCAAAUUUUCUUCAGUAUCUGAUGGCUUCAACUCCGAUAGUACUAGCCACCAUGGUGGGAAAAUACCCAGAAAAUUAGCAAAUCAUGUGGUGGAUAGAGUUUGGCAAGAAUGCAAUAUGAACAGAGCACAGAACAAGUGUGUAUUUUCAUUUAUAAGUUCAAAAAUUGCAUGUUGAUAAUUACUUAUAAUUAGAAGAUAUCUAAAGUAUAAACAGUCAUUUGUUUGAUUUUUCUUUAACUCAUAAUGUUGAUCUUUAAAAUUAAUUUCAAUGCUACAUUGAGGUUUGAUAGAAAAUUUUAUGAAUUUUAAAGAAUUUUGUAACUUUAAAUCUUAGGAGGAAGUAUUCUGCUUCAUCAGGUGGUCUAUGCGAAGAAGCGACAGCUGCUAAAGUGGCAUCCUGGGAUUUUGUUGAAGCCACACAAAGAACAAAUUGCAGUUGUUUGAGGUAGAUUAUUUCCCGAUCGAUUGAUGCCUAUGUGUGAUAGUUUGUUACGCCACUGAAUGCUUAUGCCCACUUUAUUUGAAACAGCUUACAUGAACAUAUGUCAGGAUUUUUUUUCAAAAGAAAAUUCAGGAAAAAUAUUUCAGGAAUUUGAAGCUGAUUAUAGAAGUACAUGUAAAUAUAAGCUUUCAGUUCAUUCACUGUUACCAGAGGCAGACUCUGAAAGUUUUGUUUCCUAGUAGCUAAAUAAAAGACAAUUUUAUAUGG